CCCACAACUACCCCACUUCCGGCGUACGUCACGCUCGCAGUUAUUUGUAGCCAAUCAACUGAGACAGUUAGGGGAACCGGAAGCGAAAGUGCGAAUCCUACUAUGUUGACGCCCUGUCCCCGCCUCCUCGCUUUCCGACCCGCCUUUCUCGGCUCCUGAUUGGUUAUCACCUCAUAGCCGUGUCCAAACGAGUUUUCAUUGGUGGCGGGUUUCGUAACCCCCCUUAGAUUCACGGUUUCGAUUUGAGGAGCUUCUGCGGCCCUUUAUUAGUAUGGCAGACCGUAUUAAAUGGUGCCAUGUUUGCGAGACAGCUGGAGAUGAGGAGGAUCUGAAAGAGCUUGAGAGAGCUUUGCCACCUGGCUACCAGCACCUGGUCUGUGCGUUUAAGGCAGAAGAGCAGCGAGUGGUGCUGAAAGUCAAGCUCACCUUGAGAGAACAGGUGGAAAAUUGGCUGAAGGAUUUUCAGCUUUCAUCAUCCUUAACUUGGAGGAAGGCAAGGACUUACCCUGAGUCAGGGAGGUACAAUACCUACAGAGUAAGUACAGCUUGGAAGCUUAGCCAACAGGGCAAAAGAGGUCCUAGAUGGUGCAAUGUAAUAAGGGUAUGAGGAGCGUUUGACUCAUAAGCCACAGAGAAUUAUUAGCAGACCUAGUGACAGCUGCUGAUUGCUCAUUGGUCUUUGUACAGGCUGAUUUCAGAUGUCAGCACAACACCUAUGGAGCUGAGAGGAGCCCAAAGAACACAAACUGUCGCGCGACUCUUUUCCUUGUCCUCAAAAGAAGCAUGGAGGACAGAAGAUCAAGAUCGACAGAUCGCCACAUGGUGGACGGCUACCUCCUCUAUGUGAACUGGAGGAAUAAUCACAAUCACCUCAUUGUCUGCGGCCAAGCCCCCAGCAAGAGGGGUGUGUCCACCACAACACAGGAACGCUUGACAAAUGAGGGUGACAGCAACUCCGCUGUGCCCAUCUCAUCCGGUACCACGUGGCACAAUGUGAACCCUGUACUGAGGUGCUGCACGUGUCCAGUUGGCGUGUCAGGUGCAAACUGCAAACAUCAAAGGGCUGUUUUGCGGGCCGUUGAUGUCAUGGAGGUGGGCCCGGCGAGCAGAACACCUGAGCUGAGGAGGCUCUUCUAUGAGAUUUCCUGUGGUGGUCCAACACCAGAGAAAUGGUGUGAAGGUUCAGACCUUCAAGGGCCUGUGGUAGGUAAGUAUCCAAGCCAGACAUCUGUUCAUGUCAAUUAUUCAAGCAUUGUUCACAGUCAAGGUCCAGAAAUCAGUCAUGUUUCUUUUGUCUUUUUCUCAACUAUAAGAACAAGACGAACACGAGGUUGCUGACGACGAUAAUAAUGGUCACUGUGCUGGGACGUCUCCAAAGACCAUUUCAG
rnacentral:lncRNA from 1 species